rnacentral:lncRNA from 1 species
AGGGCUGGGGGGUGUUGCGGUCUGCGGGGCUGGGUGCCGCCCACCACCUCUCGGUCCCUUGGUCUCAGCUCCCAAAAGUCUGCCACGGCCAGAGGGGCCGAGGCCUGGCCAGAGGCGAUUUUAAGGCCCCUCCUCAAGCUCCUCUAGCAGCUGUAGCCCUAAAAACGCUACCCUUUCUCCCCGCUGCUGAAGCCUUAGACGGUUUUGUAAGAAUUUUAAUACGUGAGAACUUCUCCUUACCACGACUGUGGACUCCUCUUCCAGGUCCAGAUGGGCGCCCGGUUCCUGGGCCCUAGUGCAUUCUGUUGGGUGGGGGCAUCCUGGCGUCACGUACACACAUACAUGCAUGUACAGGUAAAAAUGUGUGUGACAGAGAGCGCCGUUCUCUCUUCUGGUUGACACUAUACCAGUAGGGACUUAACAUCCUUUGGUAGUGAGCGGUGAGGCCAUGCACAGGCUUUCCAAGAGCAUUCUCGGGAGCUCAUGGGUGGGUCUAUAAGGAUUCCUCCAAGUGGGGAUUCUGGCCGAAGGUGAGCCUGUGUUCGUGGGGACAGAUGGAACCGAACUGCUCUCCACACAAGAUGCCGCGCUGUCAACUGAGCAGACUGGGCGCCAGCACUUCCUCAUUCCUCUGCGCAUGUGAGGGGACAGUGGUCCCGUCACCCCCUGAUCACAGACAUGACCGAUCCUCUCAGAAUCUCUGAGUCUAUUUCUAGUUCCUCUUCCGUCCUCCCCUGCUCCGGUCCUGCUCCCGCUUUCGGGUCAUCAUGAGUGACCUGGUCACUCCCCGUCCCUCCUGCACGCGCCAAGGGAGCUCAAUAAACAUUUGCUGGAUGAAUAAAUCGACAAGUGCUGAGCACCUGCCACAUGAAAGCGCUUGGCUUUCCACCUGAGGAAGGGCUGCCAGCACCACCUCUCCAAAACACGUGUGAUCAUGUCACCCAAGCCACCAAUGAAGAAAAAAUAAGACUCCCUGUCUGGGAGUUCCCACUGCGGUGCAACGGGAUCCACAGCGUCUCGGGAGCGCUGGGACGCAAGUUCGAUCCCCGGCCCACACAGUGGGUUAAGGACACAGCAUUCCUCCAACUGUGGCUUAGGUCGAAACUGUGCCUCGGAUCUGAUCCCUGGCCCCGGAACACCAUGUGCCACGGGCGGCAAAACAAACCAACCUGCUUCUAGACUGAACAGGCGGAGGCAGGCCUGAGUGACGUGGGCUGGCCUGGGGCCCACUGCAUUCUCUCUUGGUGGGGAGCUCAUUUCGCCCAAUUGCUCCUGACUGGACCAGCAAAACCUGCGAUUCCACAGCGCCAUGCAGGCUGCAGCUCACGCACCUGUACCUGCUCACACGUCUCGGAGGGGAACACACUCCCUCAUCCCCAGUGGAGGAGCCACUGCUGGGCAGGGCCGGGCGGCCCCCAAAGCCACGCUUGCCCUCAGAGACAUGCAAGAGGCAGACUAGAGGUUCCCCUGGCGAGCGGGGACUGGGCCACAGGAGGCGGAUGGUGCUGGUGACCCUGGAGGAACAGUUUCAAGAAAUUCACCUGGGGCAGGAAAGGCUAAGGAGGCAAAUGGCCGGGCAGACAGCAUGCCGGGGGUUUCGCUCCAGUGCUUUAAGGUGGCAGAGACUGAGCUGAAUCCCGAUGAUGAGAGGGAAAGGCUGGGGGUGGGGAGGGCAGAGGGCCCAACCUCCGUGGUAGCGGUGGAAGGGGAGGUGGGGGUGAGGGAGGAGGCCCAGGCUCUGGCCAUGCGACAGGUCCUGCCCCUGCGGCUUCUGUUUUCUCUGUGAGGGAGGCCGUGGGCUCAUCUCUGAGACAUGGGAGGUGGGGCCAGAGGUUUGAGGAGACUGCA